rnacentral:lncRNA from 1 species
CACUAUUCUUCGAGUAGGAAAGGUAACAGUAGAAAUUUAAUUUAACUUUUGUUCGUCGGUUCUAACAACGAUCUGUCUAGCAUAUUUUUAGGUGGACAGGAAAGGACGAACAACUUUGAUUUGGAUCUACGAAGGGGGGCGGCUGGAUAUGAGAGGACUCUGUUUAGUUUGGGAGAGGGGGUUGGAAGCUAGAAACGUGGACACACCGGAUGAGGAUUUAAGCUGAUUCGGAUUCGGAGUGCUCACAGCUAGGAUAACACGGGAGGUUGAAAUAUGGAAUGAAGGGGACUUGUUUACGUGAAAAGAUUGACUGCGAGUAUGUGAUGCAGGGGAAUUGGGAUCAAUGGUUGAAUCAGAAUCUGAGAGGAUCUAAUUUGCGGAAUGCAUGUGAUUUGGGUCCAGGGAUCAUUCCAAAUGAGUUUGACUCGACCUGUAUAGAUUAGACUCGACCUGCAUAGAUUGGACUUGACCAAUAAAAUCAAUCAAACUUGAAUUACUUUUAAUAAUUUAUUAAAAUGUAGUGAUAAAGGGAAUGCAUUUUCUUAUGUUUAAAUUUAAAAUAUGUGCGUAAAACUAAUGAUAAGUGCUAUGAGUAAGAAGUUAAUUUAUGCAUUAUUUAGCACUUAUCACACCCCCCCAACCUACAUUUUGCUAGUCCUCGAGCAAAAU